AUACGCAAUGCUUCGUUCUACACAAUCUGAUUCCGUACACACGAAAGUCUGUAUCGCCAGUCAUAAUGAAACGAGGCCAGCUCUGACAAAGCUGAACACGAGAUCUGUAGAAGUUGGCAAAGUUUACCAGUCAGCUCAAGAGAAACCGCCAUGAACAAACGGCAAAGAAAUGAUUGGGCCUACAACUGACCUGCAUCUGAAGAGGAAUGACGGUCCAUGUCAGUGACGGGAAUCUACAAAUUACACACACAAGAUAAUUUGGCACGACACCAGAAACCGAAAUCCAGUCAGGAGUUGUUAUUUCUUUUGCCACUAGCAGGAUUAUAACGUCGAGAAACUCAGGUAUUGGCGGUGUUGAGGAGUUUGGUCGUAUCCUCUACGGCCACUCAGUCAAAUAAGAUAUUUCCUAUGAGGAAAAUAUCCUGAGCAUUCCUCAUUGAGACACAGGCGUGCUAAACAUUUCGUUGUUAAUCAUCAAUGUUGACAUGUGCCACGUGCUAUUCUAUAGAGUAUUUUGAAGAGACAUAAUAACAUUUCCAGAUGAUGUAACCCAUAAAUGUAAGCCUACUUUAGACUUUGGUCUUGUGUAACAUACGAAGAUUAAUUAGAAUGUUGGCUACCAUUUCCACUUGAGAAAUGUAUUUCGUGCGAUAAUCUUUGUAUAUUCUUUCUGUAUUAUUUGUUUUGU